ACGCCUUAUACAUGCAAGUCGAACGAAGUAGCAAUACUUAGUGGCAGACGGGUGAGUAACAUGUAGGUAUCUUCCCUUUGGUGAGGAAUAACACGAGGAAACUUGUGCUAAUACCUCAUAAGUCUUUACGGAGAAAGCUUUAUGCGCCGAAGGAUGAGCCUGCAUUUGAUUAGUUUGUUGGUGGGGUAAUGGCCUACCAAGACUUUGAUCAAUAGCUGAUCUGAGAGGAUGAUCAGCCACAUUGGGACUGAGACACGGCCCAAACUCCUACGGGAGGCAGCAGUAGGGAAUAUUGCACAAUGGAGGAAACUCUGAUGCAGCGAUGCCGCGUGAGUGAAGAAGGCCUUUGGGUUGUAAAGCUCUUUCGUCGGGGAAGAAAAUGACUGUACCCGAAUAAGAAGGUCCGGCUAACUUCGUGCCAGCAGCCGCGGUAAUACGAAGGGACCUAGCGUAGUUCGGAAUUACUGGGCUUAAAGAGUUCGUAGGUGGUUAAAAAAGUUGGUGGUGAAAUCCCAGAGCUUAACUCUGGAACUGCCAUCAAAACUUUUUAGCUAGAGUAUGAUAGAGGAAAGCAGAAUUUCUAGUGUAGAGGUGAAAUUCGUAGAUAUUAGAAAGAAUACCAAUUGCGAAGGCAGCUUUCUGGAUCAUUACUGACACUGAGGAACGAAAGCAUGGGUAGCGAAGAGGAUUAGAUACCCUCGUAGUCCAUGCCGUAAACGAUGUGUGUUAGACGUUGGAAAUUUAUUUUCAGUGUCGCAGCGAAAGCAUUAAACACACCGCCUGGGGAGUACGACCGC
rnacentral:rRNA from 1 species